rnacentral:sRNA from 1 species
GAUGCCCGUUUAUUGAGCACCUACUGUAUGCUAAGUGAGCUGCUAGUAUACGGUUUUACAGAUAGUGUCCCCAGUGAAGCAGAGCCAGUGUCCCCUGAACAGGUAACAGCUCUGUUUCCUGAACAGCUCGAUGUCAGGGUACCCCACCACAGAGAACCCUCCAGCCCCCGACACUGGAGUGGCAGGGUUGAAAACUGAUCUGGGAGGUAAGAGGGAGGGGCGUGCGUACACAUGCCCAUGUGGACGCUGGCGGUCAGCCCGUGCGUCCAUCCUCAGGCAUCACCCACACUGCUUACUGAGACAGGGUCUCUCGCCCCCUGUGCCAAGUAGGGCUAAGCUGCUGCCAGUAAGUACCAAGAUCCUCCUGCCUCCACCUCUCCAGUACUCAGCUUUUCACAGACGCCCUCAGCAAGCACCUCACCUCUGACCCAUCUCCUCAGCUGUUUCUUUGUCAUCCAUUAUCAGGCAUUUCUGGAUGCCGGAGACGUGGCGAACGGCCUGACCUGUUCCCAGGAGAGGAACUUGUCCAUCAGCGAGUCUCCCGCACUAAGAACAGCCCUGAUAAGAAGCCGAGCCCUAAGGCCCUGGGUUCGGUCCCCAGCUCCGAAAAAAAGAACCAAAAAAAAAAGAAGCCGAGCCCAGUGUGUGUUCAUUCUUUGAUGAACUAAUGAGAAAAUGAUCGGAAAUGGUGCUACGGAACUGAUACGGUUAUGAUUGCACAGAUGCUAACGGCACCAUCGAUAUUUGAACCAGGGGCCAGCCCUUCAAUUGGCACCUGACAUGUGUGACACUGGACAGCCCCACCCCAAUGCAGCAGAACUCCAUCCUCCACAAACAGCCAGACAUUCACCCCUCCUUAUCCGAGCCUGCAACCUUGCUGACAUGUCCAGAACUCACCGGACAUCUGGGAAACUGAAGUUCAGAGAGGGUGGGGAUCUUCCUCAGGCUGAAAGGGAGCUAGCACACAACGCUGGGUAGGAUUCAUUCUUGCCAGGCAACUGGUUCUUGUCAUGUCUAACACGUUCUGGGCCCUGAGGAGUCAGAAGGGCUCCAUGCACAGAGUUAUGCCAGUGGUCAGCUUCAGGUGGCCUCCAGCAAGAAAUUCUGGGAAGUUUGCUGGGGUCAGGAUCUGGGUCCCUGGAGUUUGAAGCCAGCCUGUCCAUUUCUCUGCCAUACAGCCUCAGGACUUUGCCACAGCCUUGUCCUGGACCAAAAAGAUGCCUUAUGUACCCUGCAUGCCACCUCGCCACUCAACACUGCCCAAAACACCACCAUCUGGCAGAAGGAACAGGCCUGCUGCUCAGAGGCCUGUGGAGGUAAGAAGUGGGAGAGCCCAGCUGGUAAGAAAUGAUUCGAGGGUCUGGUGCUGGGGAAUCCUGAAGCCACAGAUGUCAGAGGUGGAGGCCAAGUGCCUGCCCACUACAUGGUGACACAGAUCGAAAGGACCCUGAUUCCCAGGAUGCUUCUACAAGCUCCACCCAGUCCUCAAUGCCCUUGUUCUGUAUUAAACAUGAACUGAG